CCUUACAGAGAGGGAAGUCUGUGUUGUAUAUUGACUUCUAAUCAAGUUAUGGCCUCCAUCAGAGAUUACAGAGGUAGGCAUAUAUCCCUACAUUUCAAAUCAAGAGAAAAAAUAAGCAACGAUGGCUUCACCUGCAAAUGCAUGUUCUUUGUUCGGUGAACCAGGAGACUGAGGGGCUGGGGUGACUCUCCUCCGGGCCCCUUUUCUUCUCUCUCUGGUGAGUACUGGGCUUGGGUCCAGUGCCUGAAAAACUGCCUCACUUGGGCCCAGCCUGCCCACAUGUCCUGCCAGGUCUGGGACAAGCCCCCUCCGUCCCAGUGCUUUGUUCAGCAUUUUGCCACCUUUUUGGUGCCUCUGCUUCCAGAGCCUGCAAACCCAUUGUGGAAAGGAAAGCAGCGGGGUCGCCCGUGCCCCUCAGCCAUGCCCAGCCCCAGCCUGUGGGUUUGGACAACCCUCCCGCCCGGGUCCUUCCACUGACUGACUAGGGGUGUAGAGACACUGCAGGAAUCAGAACACCGUAAAAGGCAAGUCGGCUCCCACUUCGCCUUCUGCCAUGAUUGGAAGCUCGCUGAGGCCUCCCCAGAAGCAGAAGCCGCCAUGCUUCCUGUACAGCCUGUGGAACUAUGAGUCAAUAAAAACUCUGUUCUUUAAAUUA